rnacentral:rRNA from 1 species
UACGGAGGUGGCAAGCGUUGUUCGGAAUUACUGGGCGUAAAGGGCGCGUAGGCGGCUUGGCAAGUCGGAUGUGAAAUCCCCGGGCUUAACUUGGGAACUGCAUCCGAAACUGCUGAGCUUGAGUCCUGGAGGGGGUAGUGGAAUUCCCAGUGUAGCGGUGAGAUGCGUAGAUAUUGGGAGGAACACCUGCGGCGAAGGCGGCUACCUGGACAGUGGCUGACGCUGAGGCGCGAAAGCUAGGGGAG